CUGAGUUUAGGUGACACAUUGUUAGCGUUAUGGUUAACUGUUGUCAUGGAAACGAAACGAAUACAGGCAUAUUCAUGUUUUUAAAGUUAAUAUUUAAAGCACUACUAUGAAUUGUAAUCGAUAUGCGAGUCAACCUUUGAAAAAGGAAAAAUACUUUGGGGAUCUGGGUCGAGGAAGAAAUCGUGCUACAUAAAAUGUAGCUGCCAGUCAUGCUGGAUUAACAGGAUUAAUAAGCGAAAAGUUUGUAUGAUGAGGCAGAAUAGUUGGAAGUCUUUGGAACAAAGCGAGUGCAUUCUUGGAAUACUGAGAAAUUGAAAUGAAAAGAGUGCCGAUACUUACAUCCGGAGUCUUAAGACUUGGGCAAAGAUUCAUCUCAUUAUGGAAUAAAGAGGUUUUAUCUAGCGCCAAUGAAGAACUUUACAUACAAACCGCACAUAAUGAAUUAUUCGUGAAUAUUUUUGUCCGUUCAGUGUCUAUGUUUAGACAGACUAAGUGCGCGGAUAUGACAGAAGCACUGUUGCCGUUGGCGGAUUUGUGCUGAUAAUUAGCUCUCACCGCUAGUACUCUACAUCUUACUGUAAAGUCUCUCGACUCGAAGGUACAGUGUAGGCAGAAAUUGGAAGGUAGCAGAAAUUUUAGAAAAUCGAAAUGAAGACGGCUCGCAAUCACAGACAAGUUCCGUACAAUGCCACUAUGCCAGAUCAUUGUAUAGGACGUAGCCUCAUGCGAACAGACGAACAGUCUAUACCGAUAAGUACCAGUAUUCGUUUCAGUUUCCUGCAUGUAUACACAUUUUUGUGUAGAUUGUUCACAGAAACAGGCUAUCUUGGACGCAGUACCAGAUGCCGAUACAAAUAGUGUAUUCUUAUUCGGUAAAAUGAGUAUAUUGAGGUCUAUAAUAGAAAUUUUUGCAGGUAUAGUUUCAUCCUUAACCCGCGCUAAUUUCAUGAACAUAGUUCUAGCUACGAACCCAACACUCGUAUACACUUUUUCACGAUAAAGUAUAGUCUAUUGCGUAAGAACGCUUACAUAUCAAUACUGCAGUAUAGAUUAUAUAUACGAGUAUAAACGUAUAUCAGUAGACAUCAGUAAAUUAAGUCUAAAGAUUCCUAAAUAAAAUGACGCUUUACACCAGCCGGCUGUCGCAGCCUGUGACUUUUAAAUUAGCCUCGAAACGCCAAGUUUUUCUCUGCAAAUUAAUCCGUUGAUCUGUUAUCUAUACCAUGAAUUGCACGUUGUCAUGGAUGAUUCCAGCUAUCUACUAAUUUUUUUAUCUAGACAUGAAAGACGAAGUCUAUCAUUAUAGCUCAAAAGAGCAUCCUAA